rnacentral:rRNA from 1 species
UACGGAGGGUGCGAGCGUUGUUCGGAAUCACUGGGCGUAAAGGGCGUGUAGGCGGUCCGCUAAGUCUGAUGUGAAAGCUCGGGGCUCACCCCCGGAAGGGCAUUGGAAACUGACGGACUCGAGUCCCGAAGAGGAGGGUGGAAUUCCUGGUGUAGCGGUGAAAUGCGUAGAUAUCAGGAGGAACACCGGUGGCGAAGGCGGCCCUCUGGACGGUGACUGACGCUGAGACGCGAAAGCGUGGGGAGCAAACAGG